rnacentral:rRNA from 1 species
UACGUAGGGUGCAAGCGUUAAUCGGAAUUACUGGGCGUAAAGCGUGCGCAGGCGGUUAUGUAAGACAGUUGUGAAAUCCCCGGGCUCAACCUGGGAACUGCAUCUGUGACUGCAUAGCUAGAGUACGGUAGAGGGGGAUGGAAUUCCGCGUGUAGCAGUGAAAUGCGUAGAUAUGCGGAGGAACACCGAUGGCGAAGGCAAUCCCCUGGGCCUGCACUGACGCUCAUGCACGAAAGCGUGGGGAGCAAACGGG